rnacentral:snRNA from 1 species
AACCUAACCGCUACCGUCCGCAA